ensembl:lncRNA
GAGAUCACGAUUCUCUCACGAUUUUCUUUUCCAAUAUAAAUAUUUAUUGCACUUAUUAACUGCACAUCAACUUCGUAACAGUUGAAACUGAACAUAAAAACAAUAAAUAAACAUAAAAACAAAUGUCUCACGUUUUGUGGUUGCCGCAAAAUGUUGUACUGCUUGAAAUUCCGUCUCCACCGUUGCUUGACGCUGCGUGUAUAGAGCAGGUAGUGCAACAAUAGAAAAAUAGUUGCGGGACGGCACUGUGUAGCGUUUGUCUAGGGUGUUGAUCAUUUUCCUAAAUCCCUCUUUUUGCACAGUGUUGAUGGGAGCCAUAUCUUUGGUCAGGUGAUAAGUGAUAGCCUCCGUAAUUUCUUUGUGCCUGUGGGAGUUCGACGGGUAUAGGGAAGCGCUGUAUAAGGUUCCCGUUAUUGAUGUUUGGGUGGUUGACCGGGACGGAUGUUCUCUUGUCACUUUCUCGUCAUCCCUGACGUGCUCUCCGUUGUUUUUUCCCUGCUAAUUUUAGCAUCACACGGCACAGCUUCUGUAUCACGUGGUAUAAGGCUCCGCCCUUGUCAUUUGUUGAGCAGGAAGAGUGAGCGCUUGUUUUCAUGCAGAUUACGUCCCGGAUCAAAAUGCGGUACAAUCGUCGUUGCCUUUUUUUUUUUUUUUAAAUCGUUGUCAUUUGGAAAUGAGAUCGCACAUAAGUAUAAAUCGAGAUCGCGAUUUUCUAACGAUUAAUCGUUCAGCCCUACUGAGCACUUUGUAACUGUUGCUAUAAAACUUCAUAUUUAGCCAUGUAUUUUAAAAUCUCGCAUCUAGAACUAUGUAACUUCUAGCCUUUUGAAAUCGGAUGAUUCUUUUUGAAAUACUCUGUAUAAUAAGAAUGAUAAUAAGAAUGUCAUAUAUUUGAUUAGCUGCAUUUAUAAUUCCUAUCUCUCUGCUCGUCAGUGCAUCCAAGAACAUUUCCAAAUCAGGGACAAACAACCAACCAACAGCCAGGCUGUGAUAACUACAUCUUGUAUGCGCUGGCUUAAAGAUUUAUAUUUCCCUGUUGCAAUAUUACAUCUAGCUUGCUCGCCUUCAGCAGUCAGUCACAUUCUGGUCAGUACUGUUUAACAAAUGGCUCCAUGGUGUAUCGUUUUAAAC